rnacentral:rRNA from 1 species
GACAAACUUGGCAUGUGAUAACUUUUCGGAAAGCCCAAAGACAGCCCUCCGACGAAAGAAGCAGGACAAUGGAACUUUUCCAUUGACUUUUUGUCGACCCCAAAUUUUGACUUUUAAGUACUUUUUCGGGCAUUUUCGUGAUUUGGGCUAUAUUACGGACCCAAAAUUACUUGUUCAAGCAUUGUUUUCGAAUUUUUUCAUGCAUCAAAGCUCGUUAAGACUAGAUGGGGUAUCCCUACAUAGCGGGUGGGACCCACGGCGAAUGGUUCAUCAAGUCUUCAAAAAAGAAUAUAUACGAUUGCAUUGCAUAUACUAACGGAUGCGAUCAUACCAGCACUAAUGCACCGGAUCCCAUCAGAACUCCGCAGUUAAGCGUGCUUGGGCGAGAGUAGUACUAGGAUGGGUGACCUCCCGGGAAGUCCUCGUGUUGCAUCCCUCUUUUAUGUUUAACCUUUUUUUUUUUGGUUAAAACUUUAUGACUCAAUAACUUUUAGACCGUUUUUUUCUGGUUAAAACUUUAUGACUCCAUAACUUCUACACGG